GAUGAACGCUGGCGGCGUGCCUAACACAUGCAAGUCGAGCGAUUUACUUCGGUAAAGAGCGGCGGACGGGUGAGUAACGCGUGGGUAACCUGCCCUGUACACACGGAUAACAUACCGAAAGGUAUGCUAAUACGAGAUAAUAUGCUUUUAUCGCAGGGUAGAAGUAUCAAAGCUCCGGCGGUACAGGAUGGACCCGCGUCUGAUUAGCUAGUUGGUAAGGUAACGGCUUACCAAGGCGACGAUCAGUAGCCGACCUGAGAGGGUGAUCGGCCACAUUGGAACUGAGACACGGUCCAAACUCCUACGGGAGGCAGCAGUGGGGAAUAUUGCACAAUGGGCGAAAGCCUGAUGCAGCAACGCCGCGUGAGCGAUGAAGGCCUUCGGGUCGUAAAGCUCUGUCCUCAAGGAAGAUAAUGACGGUACUUGAGGAGGAAGCCCCGGCUAACUACGUGCCAGCCGCCGCAGUAA
rnacentral:rRNA from 1 species